rnacentral:rRNA from 1 species
AGACCCGAAACCCGGUGAUCUAGCCAUGGGCAGGUUGAAGGUUGGGUAACACUAACUGGAGGACCGAACCGACUAAUGUUGAAAAAUUAGCGGAUGACCUGUGGCUGGGGGUGAAAGGCCAAUCAAACCGGGAGAUAGCUGGUUCUCCCCGAAAGCUAUUUAGGUAGCGCCUCGUGAAUUCAUCUCCGGGGGUAGAGCACUGUUUCGGCUAGGGGGCCAUCCCGGCUUACCAACCCGAUGCAAACUGCGAAUACCGGAGAAUGUUAUCACGGGAGACACACGGCGGGUGCUAACGUCCGUCGUGAAGAGGGAAACAACCCAGACCGCCAGCUAAGGUCCCAAAGUCAUGGUUAAGUGGGAAACGAUGUGGGAAGGCCCAGACAGCCAGGAUGUUGGCUUAGAAGCAGCCAUCAUUUAAAGAAAGCGUAAUAGCUCACUGGUCGAGUCGGCCUGCGCGGAAGAUGUAACGGGGCUAAACCAUGCACCGAAGCUGCGGCAGCGACGCUGAUGCGUUGUUGGGUAGGGGAGCGUUCUGUAAGCCUGCGAAGGUGGCCUGUGAGGGUUGCUGGAGGUAUCAGAAGUGCGAAUGCUGACAUAAGUAACGAUAAAGCGGGUGAAAAGCCCGCUCGCCGGAAGACCAAGGGUUCCUGUCCAACGUUAAUCGGGGCAGGGUGAGUCGACCCCUAAGGCGAGGCCGAAAGGCGUAGUCGAUGGGAAACGGGUUAAUAUUCCCGUACUUGGUGUUACUGCGAAGGGGGGACGGAGAAGGCUAUGUUGGCCGGGCGACGGUUGUCCCGGUUUAAGCGUGUAGGUG